ACCUGGCUGGCUCAGUCUGUAGAGCAUGUGACUCCUGAUCUCAGGAUCAUGGGUUCAAGCCCCAUGUUGGGCC